GAUGAAGAACGUAGCGAAAUGCGAUACGUAAUGUGAAUUGCAGAAUUCAGUGAAUCAUCGAAUCUUUGAACGCAUAUUGCGCUCUUUGGUAUUCCGAAGAGCAUGCUUGUAUGAGUAUCAGUAAACACCUCAACCUCUUCUUGAUUUUUCAAAAGGAGGGUGGACUUGAGCUAUCCCAACAACCUUUACCGGUCGGCGGGCGGCUUGAAAUGCAGGUGCAGCUGGACUUUUAUCCGAGCUAAAAGCAUAUCUAUUUAGUCCUCGUCAAACAGGAUUAUUACUUUUGCUGCAGCUAACAUAAAGGAUAAUUGUCCUCUUUGCUGACUGAUGCAGGAUUUUACGACACUUUAUGUGUUGUUCAACUCGAUCUCAAAUCAAGUAAGACUACCCGCUGAACUUAAGCAUAUCAAUAAGCGGAGGA
rnacentral:misc_RNA from 1 species